rnacentral:tRNA from 1 species
UACCCGGUAGUGUAACGGUAGCACAACAGGUUUUGGUCCUGUUCGUCCAGGUUCGAAUCCUGGCCGGGUAA